AAAAAAAUUAAUGAGCAUGUAACUAAUUGUAAGUUCAAUUUCAAAUGCAUUUCUACAAAUACAACUUCAAAUAUACCCAGCACGGAGAACAAAUCGAUUCAGCACAUCAAUCACCGAUAUGCAAUGAGCAACUGGAAGAAACAGAAAAGAAUUUACCAACCAGGCAAGGUUGCAAAACCAUAAAUGCAGAUCGCUUUCAAUAACUUCAUGCAGCCUGAAUAUAUAUUCUUGCAUUUAUUUAUUUCAAAAAAUGUCAUUUUUCCCCAUUUGUUAUCUGUUAGUAUUUAGUAACAGUACUUUUUUUUUUUUUUCUGUUAG
rnacentral:misc_RNA from 1 species